rnacentral:tRNA from 7 species
AGUCCCGUAGGCAAAAGUCAAGCCGUCUCCCCCUCAAGGAGAAGAUUGCGAGUGCAAACCUCGUCGGGACUCCCA